AUCCAGCUGACAAGUCCCAAAUAGGACGAAACACACGUUCUGGAU
rnacentral:hammerhead_ribozyme from 1 species